GUGAAAAGAAAAGGAAGGAUGAAACAGCAUCUGGUGUGUGUGCAAUGGCUGGCUACAGACCCUUGGUGGCAGUGUUGAGCCUGUUCUGUUUGCUUUACUGUACAGGCCGAUACAGCAUUAGUGUGUGAAGAGUACUCAUCAGAUGGUAAAUUGGAAUUGACAGAGAUGGCUAUCUUGAUCCAGGAGAAGUUCCCACAACUUCAUGAGGACAACAGAAAAUUCCUGGAGUUAUUCAAACAGAGUGACGAGAAUGAGGAUGGGAGUUUGACCCUAAUGGAGUGCACAAACAUGAUCAAAAGCAUCACAUCUGCUCAACAAAGUUAAGAUUAAGCACGUAGAGUCAACGGUGAAGUGUAGUACAUAGUCAAUAAUUAUAAAAAUACAGCUUAUUAUUGACCGAAAUA